rnacentral:tRNA from 1 species
AAUAAGAUGCCUGAUUAAAGGAUUAUUUUGAUAGAAUAAAUUAAGUAAAAAUUUUACUCUUAUUG